rnacentral:rRNA from 1 species
GAUGAACGCUGGCGGCGUGCUUAACACAUGCAAGUCGAACGGAAAGGCCCAAGCUUGCUUGGGUACUCGAGUGGCGAACGGGUGAGUAACACGUGGGUGAUCUGCCCUGCACUUCGGGAUAAGCCUGGGAAACUGGGUCUAAUACCGGAUAGGACGAUGGUUUGGAUGCCAUUGUGGAAAGUUUUUUUCGGUGUGGGAUGGGCUCGCGGCCUAUCAGCUUGUUGGUGGGGUAAUGGCCUACCAAGGCGUCGACGGGGAGCCGGCCUGAGAGGGUGUAAGGCCACAUUGGGACUGAGAUACGGCCCACACUCCUACGGGGGGCAGAAGUGGGGAAUAUUGCACAAUGGGGGCAAGCCUGAUGCAGCGACGCCGCGUGGGGGAUGACGGCCUUCGGGUUGUAAACUCCUUUCGCUAGGGAAGAAGCGUUUUUGUGACGGUACCUGGAGAAGAAGCACCGGCUAACUACGUG